rfam:Hordeum vulgare subsp. vulgare, WGS project CAJW01000000 data, contig: morex_contig_1558728
CAGAUCGACAAUGAUUAACUGAUCUCCUACAUCCUUGCCAGACUAGACAUGGAAUACCAGUCCAUUGUCUCUGGCAAUGACGCCCGCACCGACACCAUCAGCCUCGAUGACCUCUUCGCUCAGAUGAGCAACUUUGAUU